rnacentral:rRNA from 1 species
AAACUUUCAACAACGGAUCUCUUGGUUCUCGCAUCGAUGAAGAACGCAGCGAAACGCGAUAGUUAAUGUGAAUUGCAGAAUUCAGUGAAUCAUCGAGUCUUUGAACGCACAUUGCGCCCGUUGGUAUUCCGACGGGCACGUCUGUUUGAGCGUCAUA